rnacentral:lncRNA from 1 species
CCAGCGCCCAGGAGCGGGAGGGGAGCCGGGUUAGUGUCCAGGUGGGCCGGGCGCGGGGCCCUGCCUCUGCCGCCACCGUUAGUGCGAGCGCCAGGCUGCAUACGUACCUCACUGGAUCACACAGAGUCUUUUUGUUUUAUUAUCGUCAGGGUCAGGGGCAACCUCUUCCUGGUUCCUGGAGGGGCGCUUCUUCCUCCGCUUGCCUGUUCCCUUUGAGGUCCGGCCCUGGGCCCUGGGGAGGGUGCCAGACCCGGACGAGUCGGUCACUGCGUCCUCAGAGAAGGACUGGUCCAGGGAGGUGUCCAGGGCGGAGUCUGGGGCUGUGUUCUCCUCAUCUUCGUCUCUGUCCCCGCCAGGGCCAGCAGCGGGGAGGCCCGCAUGGCGGCCGUGGGCAGCCGAGUCCUCUGGGCCCUCGCCUGUGCGGUUGGCCACGGCCUCGGCAAGUUGGCUCAAACCCGCGGCUCCGGGGGGCUUGUCAUUGGAGAAGCUGAGGGGCUUCAGAGCCUGGGCGUCUCCUAGCACCACCGGCCAGCCCUGUGCAGAGGGCUGGGAGCUCUGGGGGUCCUCCGUGGGCAGGAAAUCACUGGCGUCCAUGUACCAGGAAGAGCGCCUCUCCAGGGGCCCAGGAACCCCCUUCUCUGGCGGGUCUCGGGUGGGCUGUGGGCCGGCGGGGGCAGCGUCCGCAAGGUCCCAGCCCCGGGGCUCCUUGGUGGUGGCAGCGUUAAGACCCGACUCAGAGGCGGGAAGGCUGGUGCCUCCCGCGGUGGCCGCUGCGGACGGAGUGGAUGUUGGUGGAGGGCAGGGACUCCCCGGAGCUAUCUGGGUCUCCAGGGUCCUGCCAAGCCCCCCACCGCCCAGGGCAGCCUUGCCUGGUGGCCAAGUGUGGGUUGACCCCGGGCAGCCCGGGCGCCGGUGUCCAGUCUGUACAGACAUGGGAGAACAGGGACACUGGGCCCCAAGGUGAUGGCACAUGGCACCUGUGCCCCAGGGUCCCCAAGGUAGCCUCCCCAGGAGUGGAGAUCCCAGCCUCUCCCACCACGUCGGACCCCUCUCAGCCUCAGGGGCAUCUGUCAGUGGGCCCGCUGGCCCAGCCCUCCUGCGCCUGGGCGCUGGGCAGACGGCUGUCCCAGCAGCCGGGCAGCCCUCAUGGCAGCAGAGACGGGAAGCACCGCAGGGGUGCCCACGUCUCAGGCAGCGGGGG